GUUCAUAGUCUGUUCUUAUUGUUGUUAUCUUACCUCCCACUCUUCUUAGAAUAGAAAAGCUGCUUUUGGGUAAGGAAUCAGACUCAACCUUCCCUUUACUACACACAACGGAGAUAAUGACAGGUAUCUUUCAAAAUCAAAAUAAAAGUUUUUCUUCUAAAAUUGUAUUCUUUUUGGUUUUAAUGUCAAGGGUAACUUAUUUUGAAAUUUAAAAUAACAUUAAGAAGGGGAACUAAAUGUUUACUUUGACAAAACGUGGGCAUGGGCCAUUAGUGAAGAAACACUUCUGGUAGUAAACCUUAUUCCAAAUUGUUUGGUUAAUUAGCCAUACAAAUUAAAUAUUUGUGCUUAGCGACUAAAACUCUUCAUUGAAAUUUUGGAUUAACAAAGACAUCUAAUAUCUUAAUUUUAGAGAACAGGAAGCAGGGACCAAGAGAUCUAGAGGUCUUAUGGAUGGGCUUCUCCCAGAACUUGCUAUUGUGAUGUUACAAUGUGUCAAUAAGGAAGAACUCCAGCAGAGAAGGCAUCUACCAGGCACCGGUGCAGGACCACAGACACCUAAGAGGAUGGGAGGAACCCCCAGCAACCAGGCUUGCGGGAUCUUGGUUCCCAGGCUGGAGGUCAGGCCUGAGCUCCUGUGGUAGCAGCUCCAAGUCCAAACUGCUGGACUAACAGAGAACCUCAAACACCAGGGAAUAUCAAUCGGAGUGAUGAUGCCCAUAGGUCCUCAUCUCAGCACCAAGACCCAACUGCCUGUAAACUCCAGUGCUGGACGUCUCAGGCCAAACAACCAGUAAGACAGGAAAACAGCACCACCCAUCAAAAAAAAUAAAAA